rnacentral:rRNA from 1 species
AGCGGCGAACGGUCGCGUAACACGUAAGCAANCUGCCCCAAAGUUUGGGAUAGGGCGUGGGGAGGGGGAUUAAUACCGGAUGUGGAUGUUGAUAUGCAUGUAUUAACAUCUAAAGCAUUUAUGCGCUUUGGGAUGGGCUUGCGGCCUAUCAGCUAGUUGGUGAGGUAACGGCUCACCAAGGCGACGACGGGUAGCUGGUCUGAGAGGAUGGUCAGCCGGACUGGGACUGAGACGCGGCCCAGAGGGCUACUGGGGGCAGCAAUUAGGAAUCUUGCGCAAUGGGCGAAAGCCUGACGCAGCGACGUCGCGUGAACGAUGAAGUCUUUCGGGAUGUAAAGUUCUUUUCUGAGGGAAGAAGGAUGUGACGGUACCUCAGGAAUAAGCCCCGGCUAACUACGUGCCAGCAGCCGCGGUAAUACGUAGGGGGCGAGCGUUGUCCGAAUUUACUGGGCGUAAAGCGCGCGUAGGCGGACUCUUAAGUUGGUGGUGAAAUGCCGAGGCUCAACCUCGGAACUGCCUUCAAAACUGGGAGUCUUGAGGCUUGGAGAGGGAAGUGGAAUUCCUGGUGUAGCGGUGAAAUGCGUAGAUAUCAGGAGGAACACCGAUAGCGAAGGCAGCUUCCUGGCCAUGUCCUGACGCUGA